UGGGGAAUAUUGCACAAUGGGGGAAACCCUGAUGCAGCGACGCCGCGUGAGCGAAGAAGGUUUUCGAAUCGUAAAGCUCCGUCCUAUGAGAAGAUAAUGACGGUAUCAUAGGAGGAAGCCCUGGCUAAAUACGUGCCAGCAGCCGCGGUAAUACGUAUGGGGCGAGCGUUGUCCGGAAUUAUUGGGCGUAAAGGGUACGUAGGCGGUUUUUUAAGUCAGGUGUCAAAGCGUGGAGCUUAACUCCAUUAAGCACUUGAAACUGAAAGACUUGAGUGAAGGAGAGGAAAGUGGAAUUCCUAGUGUAGCGGUGAAAUGCGUAGAUAUUAGGAGGAAUACCGGUGGCGAAGGCGACUUUCUGGACUUUUACUGACGCUCAGGUACGAAAGCGUGGGGAGCAAACAGG
rnacentral:rRNA from 1 species